AAGGAAUAUUGGUCAAUGGAGGGAACUCUGAACCAGCCAUCCCGCGUGAAGGAUGAAGGGGCUCUGCCUUGUAAACUUCUUUUGCAUGGGACGAAAAAACUUAAUUUAUUAAGGACUGACGGUACCAUGAGAAUAAGCACCGGCUAACUCCGUGCCAGCAGCCGCGGUAAUACGGAGGGUGCGAGCGUUAUCCGGAAUCACUGGGUUUAAAGGGUGCGUAGGCGGUUUGAUAAGUCAGUGGUGAAAGGCCGUCGCUUAACGAUGGGGCUGCCAUUGAUACUGUUAGACUUGAAUCAGGAUGAGGUUGGCGGAAUGUGGCAUGUAGCGGUGAAAUGCUUAGAUAUGCCAUGGAAUACCGAUUGCGAAGGCAGCUGACUGGACCUGAAUUGACGCUGAGGCACGAAAGCGUGGGGAGCGAAC
rnacentral:rRNA from 1 species